rfam:Erinaceus europaeus unplaced genomic scaffold scaffold00030, whole genome shotgun sequence
AUACUUACUUGGCAGGGGAGAUAUGAUCAUAAAGGUGAUUUUCCCAGGGCGAGGCUUAUCCAUUGCACUCUAGAUGUGAUAACCCCUGUGAUUCCCCCAAAUGUGGGAAACUCCUCUGCAUAAUUUGUGGUGUGGGGUACUGUGUUCACAUUUUCCCCUG